UACGGGGGGGGGGGCAAGCGUUUGUUUCGGGAAUUACUGGGCGUAAAGGGCUCGUAGGUGGCCAACUAAGUCAGACGUGAAAUCCCUCGGCUUAACCGGGGAACUGCGUCUGAUACUGGAUGGCUUGAGUUCGGGAGAGGGAGUGCGGAAUUCCAGGUGUAGCGGUGAAAUGCGUAGAUAUCAGGAGGAACACCCGUAGCGAAGGCGGCACUCUGGGCCGGAACUGACGCUGAGGAGCGAAAGCGUGGGGAGCGA
rnacentral:rRNA from 1 species